GCUGGGCAUGACAGUGCAUGCCUGUGGUCCCAGCUACUCGGGAGGCUGAGGCAGGAGGAUCGCUUGAGGCCAGGAGGUCAAGGCUGCAGUGAGCUGUGCUCAUGUCACUGCACUCCAGCCUGGGCAACAGAGCGAGUCCCUGUCUCUA
rnacentral:SRP_RNA from 1 species